UACGUAUGGAGCAAGCGUUAUCCGGAUUUACUGGGUGUAAAGGGUGCGUAGGUGGCAGUGCAAGUCAGAUGUGAAAGGCCGGGGCUCAACCCCGGAGCUGCAUUUGAAACUGCGUGGCUAGAGUACAGGAGAGGCAGGCGGAAUUCCUAGUGUAGCGGUGAAAUGCGUAGAUAUUAGGAGGAACACCAGUGGCGAAGGCGGCCUGCUGGACUGUUACUGACACUGAGGCACGAAAGCGUGGGGAGCAAACAGG
rnacentral:rRNA from 1 species